rnacentral:lncRNA from 10 species
AAGGAAUGCAGCGGCUGCCACGGAGCUCGUAGCUGCAGCUUUGGAGGAGUAAGCGGCGUGGUAGCGAAGGUCGCCGAACCCGCCUGGCUAGCCGGCGAGUUGAGUGGCGACUCUUUUGAAACAGAUGGUCACCAUGUUUAGAUAUUAGCAGUCCCGUAUGUGCAUGUCUGCAUUUGAAAAUGGAAGAGGGAAACAACAAUGAAGAGGUAAUUCACUUGAACAACUUUCACUGCCAUCGGGGACAAGACUUUGUAAUUUUCUUCUGGAAAACCCAGAUUAUCCAAAGAGAGAAGACAGAAUCAUUAUAAAUCCCAGUAGCAGUCUGCUGGCCAGCCAAGAUGAGACAAAGUUGCCUAAAAUAAGACUUUUUUGACUAUUCUAAAUUGACUCCUCUUGACCAGCACUGCUUCAUCCAAGCUGCUGACCUCCUCAUGGCCGACUUCAAAGUGCUCAGUAGUCAGGACAUCAUGUGGGCCCUGCACGAGCUCAAAGGACACUAUGCAAUCACCCGAAAGUGAUGCAGUUGAAUACAGCAAUGGCUGCAGGUAUGCGGCAGAAAUAUCAUUCAAGUGACACAGAAGGGCUUUCCUGGCCAGACACAGCGGUCACUCCUACAAUCCCAACACUUUGGUUGCCAAGGUGGGAGGAUUUCUUGCAGCCAGGAGUUGGAGGCUGCAGUGAGCUGUGAUCCCACCACUGCAUUCGAGGCUGGGCCUCAGAGUGAGGCCUGUCUCUAAAAAAACUCUUCACUCCCCACAAGAAGGGAUUUGCAAAUACCAGCCUUUCAGCACGAGGAUCACAUGGAGGAACAUUAAGAUAUAGAUGCUGGGACCUGGCCCUAUUGAUUGUAAUUCAGAAACUGAGGUGGGGCCUGAUUUAACCCCAUCAUUGGAAUCCAUUCAGAUUUGGAACUCUCUGGGUUGAACAGUGUAAGAGAGAUCCUAAG